rnacentral:lncRNA from 1 species
AUCCUCUCUGAAGUAGCUGGGACCUCAAGUCUCCCCAUCCCUGAGGAUUAGGCUGGGCAGAAGAGGAAAAGAGAAUGGCUUGGGGCUUACCCAGUGCUGAACAGUGAGACACAGCUUCUUGGACCUGGAACUCCGAAUGGGAGGUUAUACUGCUGGAGUGACUCAAGAAGAAUUGAUGCUCUGGCCCCCAGACAUGUACACGGUGUGAUGACAGGAAAUGAACGGAUUUGCAGAAAACCUUGUGGCCUGAAAUUGAAGCCUAAGGAGUCGGUGCUUCCAGGUGUAAGUGACGUGAAAGUGCCUAUCAGCAGAAUCUUGUCUUCAAGAGGAGUGCUGGCCUGUCAGCGAGCAUGCCUGAUUGCCAUGAGAUGGAUUUGCAAAGGAGAGCCAGAACACUG